UACGUAGGGUGCGAGCGUUGUCCGGAAUUAUUGGGCGGAAAGAGCUUGUAGGCGGUUUGUCGCGUCUGCUGUGAAAAUCCGGGGCUCAACCCUGGACUUGCAGUGGGUACGGGCAGACUAGAGUGUGGUAGGGGAGACUGGAAUUCCUGGUGUAGCGGUGAAAUGCGCAGAUAUCAGGAGGAACACCGAUGGCGAAGGCAGGUCUCUGGGCCACUACUGACGCUGAGAAGCGAAAGCAUGGGGAGCGAACAGG
rnacentral:rRNA from 1 species